CAGAUCCCAUAAGGCAUUGUGGCUUCGUUAAUAACACCUGUUUGAGCACUGAGGUGUACUCUGUAUAUUUUGGUGAAAACACUAAGGACAGGAUUAAACUGCAGACUUUUACAGCAAAACGACAAGCCCUCAAUCUGGAGUGCUUCGCUGCUGUUGGUCCCGUUCACCUCCUGUGGCAUGGAGACCGGCGCGGGAACCAGCAGGGACGAGCGGUUCACCUGCAGAAACAGAAAGUGUGUGUAUUUGUGCAUACUGGAAAAGGUUGGAGCCCCUCCUGGAUGACAAAGCCCUCCACCAGGUGAGUCAGCACCUGCCUCCCCUCAGGCCACGCCCCUGGUUCCCAGGGGCUACUCAGCGAUUGGUCCAAGCUCUCCGGCUCGUCUCCUGAUUGGCCGAGGGGCUCCGACUCUGUUUCGGGCUGCUGCGACUCGCCGUUUGAUUUUGUUACUUUCUCCGUCUCGGGCUGCGAUUGGCUGAGGUUGGUGGGGUUGGCAGGCUGAGGGGGGAGGAGGGGAGGCUGG